UACGUAGGGUGCGAGCGUUGUCCGGAAUUAUUGGGCGUAAAGGGCUCGUAGGCGGUCUGUUACGUCGGGAGUGAAAACUCAGGGCUUAACCCUGAGCCUGCUUCCGAUACGGGCAGACUAGAGGUAUGCAGGGGAGAACGGAAUUCCUGGUGUAGCGGUGAAAUGCGCAGAUAUCAGGAGGAACACCGGUGGCGAAGGCGGUUCUCUGGGCAUUACCUGACGCUGAGGAGCGAAAGCGUGGGGAGCGAACAGG
rnacentral:rRNA from 1 species